rnacentral:piRNA from 2 species
GAUGAUCGAGCCGCGCACGCUGCAGU